AAAACAUUCCUGAAACCUGAUUUUCUGCUACUGAACAAUGCUAAUUGUUGACCAUUUACACAGCAGUGUCCUCACAUGGAUGAGAUUCAAAAGGACAUCGUCGUCCUCUGACCUGGAGGCUUUACUGAGCUCUUUACGGUCCAUAAAACCACAGAAUCUGAGCAUCACUCUGAAUUCCAGUUAUCCCAGUAUGGAGAGUUAUAGUGGUUCCUUCCACUUCCUGCAGUGUGACCGUCUCGUCUCCAGCUGCACACAGUAAACCUGCACCACAGCUUCAGCUUCAGAUUAAUCAUUUCACUCACAAUCAUAAUCACACACAGUCCAUUAAAACUAUACCGUGCUCCAGAUUUGUGAUUUCAGAUGAUGUGAUUUCUAUUUCAAAAUGCAGAAAUAUUACAUUUCAGGGAAUCUGAUGUUCUGCAGCAAAUAUAUUGUUACAUAUUAGUGCUUAUUAUUAUUAUUAUUAUUAUAUAUUACUACAGUGCUGCAUCUAUUACUAGAUAUGUCACUAGUCCCUCCAGGAUUUAGCAGUUUUUCAAUCGCAGAAAUUAAUGAAAAAUCAAGCAAACGCCGCAAUACGAGUUUGCAAUUUUUCAAAAUUACCGCAGAUUUGGGCCGAGACGUGUCAUGUGACAUCACAGCGUGCAUUCAGUCAAAUCCCUCUUGGAUUCAUGUGCGUCGAACACGAGUACAGUUAAAAGUUCUCAUUUACCAACAAAUUUACCAAUUUUCCACAAAAAAACACAAACUCUGCAAAUUCCAUCACAAAAUUUGAAAAAAAAUCCAGCAUUUUUGGCCGCAACAAUCACAAAAAAAACUCCAUGAAAUCCAGUUCGGACUGUGUUCCAAUACAACGAUCUAUAUUCAGUGCCUUGCAAAAAUAUUCAACCCCUUAAAAGUCAUGAGAUUGGUCUGGAUUAUAAAGGACACUUACACAGAUUGUUCCAGUCAGUAUUUUUAUUGCAAACCAAUCUGCUCAUAAAGCACAUUUUCAAAGUCAAAAUUCAUUAUUUGUCAGCAGAGCUUUAAAAACUGAAAAAUGCUGUUCGCAUAAGUAUUCACCCCCCUCCAGACUAGUACCUGGUAGAAGCAGCUUUGGCUGCAGUAACAGCUGUGAGUGUGUUGGGAGUUGGUGAAGUUCAUACCAGCUCUGCACACUGUUUGGAAUUUUCACCCAUUCUUCCUGCCAGAUUUGUUCCAGGUUCUUCAGGUUGGGUGGAUGUACUUUAUUGACUGCAAUUUUUUAAACAGUGCUACAGAUUCCCAAUGGGAUUCAGAUCUGGACUUUGACUUGGCCACUGUAGAACAUUCACCUUUUUGUUUUUAACUGCUCCUACACUGCUUUGGUCUUGUCUUUGGGACCACUGAUGAAAGGUGAAGUAUCCACCAAGCAUUAGGUUUGUUUGUUUUUUAGCUGACUGAAGCAGGUUCUCUUGUAAUAGAUAUUGAUCCAACAGUGCUUACUGGGAUAUUCAACCAAUUGUAUAUAAUUUUACACCCUAUUCCUAAGUUGUAAAAUUAUAUUAUCUUACCUUUACCUUCUUUAGAAUGCUCCUUAGCCUUCAUUUUCACUUCUUUCUUCAGACUGAACAUCACUUCAGUGUCAGUUCAACUUGGGUGGCUUUUGUUCAGAAAAUAGGAGCUGUUUUAAUAUUUCACAGGUGAAGGUCAAUUAUAAGUCAGUUGUGUCCUCGUUCAGACAAUAUCUUUCAUCUGGAGCUUUGAGAUACUUACUGACCGAUAAUUAAUUUAGACUGAAACUUCACUGUAAGAGAACACGAGUCUGCAAUAAAAAUACUGAGAGGAAGAAUAUUUUCAUUUAUUAUUUGUAAUUCAGACCAAUCUGAUAAAUUCUAGGGAGUUACAUACUUUUGCAAGACACUGUACAUUUAAAUAACAUUGGGAGGAAUUUGCAUAUAUUUACAAAUAUAGUGCACAGAAUUAUCUAAUAUAUUUCUAUUAAAUAAGGAGAGACGUUGGUGUUGAGAAAUAUGAAAGAGGAUUUCCACUGAAAAAUAACAUCAAUGUACAAGUACAAUUCACUAUAUGGGUCAUUUCUGUCUGGUUUUCAUUAAUCACAUGGUAGACUAUGGAAGUUAUAGCUACACAUGAGAAAAUAGAGAAUUAAAGUGGAAAACAUCACAAAUCAGCACAAUGAUCCAGUACACCAUGGAUUUAUAAUCUUAAGAAUCCUAAAUCAAUAACCACAAGCUGUAUUUACCAUACAGUCAAAACACUUUAACUGCAAACAUUAUUUUAAUUGCAAAAAAAGUGUAUUAAACUGGACUUUUCCCUGUUACUGGUGUGGAACCAUCCAGAAAACACCUUCAGUACCUUAAUGUGUACCUGUAAAAUGACUCUAAACUCUAAUUAAGGUAUAUUAUUAAGGUAGUUAUUAAUGUAAUUGUGUUCUUAAAUCAUUUUAAAAGUAAAGAUGUGAAUACAUUAUGAUGAACCACACUGACAAUGAAAAGUACUGUUUAGUGUUUAUCUGUGAGAGUUUAAUAAAAGGAAAUAAACUAA